rnacentral:ncRNA from 12 species
AAAGCGUGAGGAUAGAAUGGCAUCGGCUAUCGCGGACCCUUAUGGGUCUCAAGUGUAGAAGAUUAUUAAUCUUUGAUGAGAUGCUGGAAGUGAUGCCCAACCACGCCUA